rnacentral:rRNA from 1 species
CCUACGGGAGGCAGCAGUGAGGAAUAUUGGUCAAUGGACGAGAGCCUGAACCAGCCAAGUAGCGUGCAGGAUGACUGCCCUACGGGUUGUAAACUUCUUUUAUACAGGAAUAACACGCGUUACGUGUACGUCUUUGCAUGUACCUUAUGAAUAAGGACCGGCUAAUUCCGUGCCAGCAGCCGCGGUAAUACGGAAGAUCCGGGCGUUAUCCGGAUUUAUUGGGGUUACAGGGAGCGUAGGCCGGAUGUCAAGCGUGCUGGGAAAUGUCCGGGCUCAACCCGGGACUUGCAGAGCGAACUGGCGGGCCGGAGGCAGCGGAAAGCAGGCGGAAUUCGUUGGGGAGGGGGGAAA